rnacentral:rRNA from 1 species
UACGUAGGUGGCAAGCGUUGUCCGGAUUUAUUGGGCGUAAAGAGCCCGCAGGCGGCUUGGCAAGUUUGAGGUGAAAUCUCCCGGCUUAACUGGGAGGGGGCCUCGAAAACUGCCAGGCUUGAGGCAUGGAGAGGGAUGCGGAAUUCCCGGUGUAGUGGUGAAAUGCGUAGAUAUCGGGAGGAACACCAGUGGCGAAGGCGGCAUCCUGGCCAUGUCCUGACGCUCAGGGGCGAAAGCGUGGGGAGCAAACCGG